CAGAGGUGGCAAGCGUUGUUCGGAAUUACUGGGCGUAAAGGGCGCGUAGGCGGCCUUCUUAGUCGGACGUGAAAUCCCCAGGCUCAACUUGGGAACUGCGUCCGAUACUGGAGGGCUCGAGUGCGGGAGAGGGAUGUGGAAUUCCAGGUGUAGCGGUGAAAUGCGUAGAUAUCUGGAGGAACACCGGUGGCGAAGGCGGCAUCCUGGACCGACACUGACGCUGAUGCGCGAAAGCUAGGGGAGCAAACGGGAUUAGAUACCCCGGUAGUCCUAGCCCUAAACGAUGAGUGCUUGGUGUGGCGGGUAUCGAUCCCUGCCGUGCCGAAGCUAACGCAUUAAGCACUCCGCCUGGGGAGUACGGUCGCAAGGCUG
rnacentral:rRNA from 1 species